CGGCGAGUGAAGCGGCAACAGCUCAAAUUUGAAAUCUGGCCCUCGGGUCCGAGUUGUAAUUUGUAGAGGAUGCUUUUGGCGCGGUGCCUUCCGAGUUCCCUGGAACGGGACGCCUUAGAGGGUGAGAGCCCCGUAUGGUUGGACACCAAGCCUCUGUAUAGCUCCUUCGACGAGUCGAGUAGUUUGGGAAUGCUGCUCUAAAUGGGAGGUAAAUUUCUUCUAAAGCUAAAUAUUGGCCAGAGACCGAUAGCGCACAAGUAGAGUGAUCGAAAGAUGAAAAGCACUUUGAAAAGAGGGUUAAAUAGCACGUGAAAUUGUUGAAAGGGAAGCGUUUGCGACUAGACCUUUUCCUGGCGGAUCAGCCGGUGUUCUCACCGGUGCACUUCGCCAGGUUUAGGCCAGCAUCGGUUUUCGUAGGGGGAUAAAAGCUCUGGGAACGUGGCUCCUCCGGGAGUGUUAUAGCCCUCUGCAUAAUACCCUUACGGGGACCGAGGACCGCGCUUCGGCAAGGAUGCUGGCGUAAUGGUCGUCAACGACCCGUCUUGAAACACGGACCAAGGAGUCGAACAUUUGUGCGAGUGUUUGGGUGUCAAACCCUCACGCGUAAUGAAAGUGAACGGAGGUGAGAGCCCUUACGGGUGCAUCAUCGACCGAUCCUGAUGUCUUCGGAUGGAUUUGAGUAAGAGCAUA
rnacentral:rRNA from 1 species